AAUAAAAACCCUAAGUUUCCAUGUCCAACGUUUGAUUGUCUGUCUUAUUUAAAAAAAUUAUAAAAAAAAUUGAAAAGACAAGUCACGCAUAAAUUAUUAAUCAUGUUUUAUCAUCUAACAACAAUGAAAAUACUAAUUUUAAAAAAAAUCCAUAUAAGACGGACGAUCAAAUGUUGAACACGAAAACCCAAGAUUUAUU
rfam:Oryza glumipatula chromosome 4, whole genome shotgun sequence.